rnacentral:rRNA from 1 species
CUACGGGGCGCUGCAGUGAGGAAUAUUGGACAAUGGAGGCAACUCUGAUCCAGCCAUGCCGCGUGCAGGAAGACGGCCCUAUGGGUUGUAAACUGCUUUUAUACGGGAAGAAACCCAACUACGUGUAGUUGGCUGACGGUACCGUAAGAAUAAGCACCGGCUAACUCCGUGCCAGCGGCCGCGGUAAUACGGAGGGUGCAAGCGUUAUCUGGAAUCAUCGGGUUUAAAGGGUCCGUAGGCGGACUGAUAAGUCAGGGGUGAAAUCCAACAGCUUAACUGUUGAACUGCCUUUGAUACUGUUAGUCUUGAAUUAUAUGGAAGUAGAUAGAAUGUGUAGUGUAGCGGUGAAAUGCUUAGAGAUUACACAGAAUACCGAUUGCGAAGGCAGUCUACUACGUAUAUAUUGACGCUAAUGGACGAAAGCGUGGGGAGCGAACAGGAUUAGAUACCCGCGUAGUC